rnacentral:rRNA from 1 species
UUGCGGCAUGGGAUGGGGUCGCGUCCUAUCAGCUUGUUGGCGGGGUGAUGGCCCACCAAGGCGUUGACGGGUAGCCGGCCUGAGAGGGUGACCGGCCACAUUGGGACUGAGAUACGGCCCAGACUCCUACGGGAGGCAGCAGUGGGGAAUAUUGCACAAUGGGCGCAAGCCUGAUGCAGCGACGCCGCGUGCGGGAUGGAGGCCUUCGGGUUGUAAACCGCUUUUGUUCAAGGGCAAGGCACGGUUUCGGCCGUGUUGAGUGGAUUGUUCGAAUAAGCACCGGCUAACUACGUGCCAGCAGCCGCGGUAAUACGUAGGGUGCGAGCGUUAUCCGGAUUUAUUGGGCGUAAAGGGCUCGUAGGCGGUUCGUCGCGUCCGGUGUGAAAGUCCAUCGCCUAACGGUGGAUCUGCGCCGGGUACGGGCGGG